rnacentral:rRNA from 1 species
GACGAACGCUGGCGGCGUGCUUAACACAUGCAAGUCGAACGGUAAGGCCCUUCGGGGUACACGAGUGGCGAACGGGUGAGUAACACGUGGGUGAUCUGCCCUGCACUUCGGGAUAAGCCUGGGAAACUGGGUCUAAUACCGGAUAGGACUCCGGACUGCAUGGUCUGGGGUGGAAAGCUUUUGCGGUGUGGGAUGGGCCCGCGGCCUAUCAGCUUGUUGGUGGGGUGAUGGCCUACCAAGGCGACGACGGGUAGCCGGCCUGAGAGGGUGACCGGCCACACUGGGACUGAGAUACGGCCCAGACUCCUACGGGAGGCAGCAGUGGGGAAUAUUGCACAAUGGGCGCAAGCCUGAUGCAGCGACGCCGCGUGAGGGAUGACGGCCUUCGGGUUGUAAACCUCUUUCAGCAUCGACGAAGCGAAAGUGACGGUAGGUGCAGAAGAAGGACCGGCCAACUACGUGCCAGCAGCCGCCGCCG